rnacentral:lncRNA from 1 species
AGAGUCGGUAAGUAGUUGAGUGAUGGCCUCAAAGCGUACAAUUUUACAAUUUUCUUGUUACACAUUGAUAGUUCUGAAAAGGUACCCACGAUAUAUCCUCCUAAAAAGCCUAAAAUUACCAUUUCAGUUUCUACCAACUAAUCGUCUGUCCGUCCAAUAUGUUUGCAUAAUGACCCAUGCAAGGCUUAGAGGUUAGAAAUUAUACCCAACACUCAACAACAUAUCCUCAUAGGUCCAUACAAUCUGGAUCUGUUAAUCCUGUUGGCUGUUCAAGUAAGGUUGUAUAUCCUUAGAGAUCCUAACCCACACGUGAAGUUUCCAAUACUUCCAAAUAUAAUGACAAAGAAAAGUGGCCAUUCAAACAUUUCCUAUAAGAAUGAUCCCAUCAGAAGUACCAACAAGCAGAAGAGAGUUGUGAUUUCCACGACAAUUAGAGAGUUAGGAUUAAAAAGCAAACGGCAAUACAGAGUAAAUCACACGAUGAACAAUAGAGAUAGAAACAGAGUUGAGCAAAAAUACCUGUAAGCAUGAGGAUAGAGUCUUUUGGAAAAUGAAAUUUAUUGACCAAAAGAUAACGCAUCGACUUAGCAUCGUUAAGGCAGCCCCUGAGUUGAUGUAUCGAGUACCUAUAAGAAACCCCACAGAUCACAGCCCUUUUACGGCCAUGCGGGUGAGCUGGAGCUCCUGGUGGCGCAAGGUGUAGUAGGGCGAUGGAACCGGAGGCAGGGCCGCUUGAGAAUGCGACGGCAGAGGGACGGCACGUGGGUUCCUAACCUGUGUCACAGCCUUACAUAUAGCACACCGAAUCGUCGGAGCUCCCGGCUGGAGCUGGAGAGGAGUCCGGCAGCCGGAGCAGUUCACUAACAUCGGCAUUGGAUGCGAAUAGUACUCGUCGAAUUCCAAUACCGAUUAACCACCAAAUUAAAAAUUUAGGGAGCAGAAUUGUACCAAUAAUUUCAAAACCGGAUCUUCAAACAAAGAUCGAUUGAAGGAAGAAGAAACCUCAGGUAAUUGGAUGUGUAACAAAAAUUCGUCGAAUGAUUAAAACCUUAUUCGUCAAAUAGCCUUUAAUGCAGCUUCCAUAACAAUUUCAAAUUGAAAAUUUCUUCUGAUUUCAGCUUCUAUUUCUUAGUCACGAAGCUUUUUCUCCAGUAGUAAUAUAAGAAUUUGUGGCUGAUUCCAGAGGGAAAAACAAAUUGGGUGGGAAAAAUCUAGAGAGAGGUUUCAAGAUUCAAAGAAAAACUCAAAAUUCAUAUAAACAAGUGAUGAAGUGGGAAAUCGUUUUCUCGGAAUUUUGCAUUUUGAAUGGGAAACACGAAUCAAUGCUAAGCUUUUGUUUUUAUUUUUAAACUUAAAGGAUUGGGAUCGAAUUUUAUGGGGAAAAAAAGAUUUUGAAAAUAUUUAAAUAGAAAAUGUGGUUUCGUUGGAUUGGAUUGUUUGACAACAUUUCAAAAAGAAUCGUUUUAAAUUAUUUAUUCAUACCUUAUCUGGAAUUAUAUACUACAAAUUGAACAAUAACUAAUGGAAUAGAAUCUUUGAACAUGUAGUAGUAGUACUAUAAUAUCAUCAAUCCAUAUACACUACAUUCUGCAUUUUCAAAUUGCCUUAAUUUCCCCCCUUACAAUAUAUCAUUUGAACUAAGUAAUUUCAAUCAAAUAUAGAAAUAGGCCAAUAAAGGCAUAACCUUACUCUAUGUCUUCAACCAUCACCUCUCUUCUAUAGAUCGAUCAAGAAAAAGGAAAUCACAGUGAGAAGGGUUUUGUAUAAACAUCGAAUGGCUGACACGCUGUUAAUUGUGGCUCCUGCAAGAACACCAAAAGAUUAGAAUGCUUUGACAGGAAUUAAAUUUUGAACUAAAAUUCUUAGCAUCAAUAUAUUAGUAUGGUGUUUGGUAGAUUGCAUGCAUUUAUACAGCCUCAACUAAAAUGGAACUCUUGAAUAACCAAAUGAUCUACCACAGAAAGUUAAGCACCUGUCUCAGCCCACCGAGCGCGCUCCCUCCGCUCAAAAGCAUGGUGACUAAAGAUGUCAUAGCACCACCACCAAUGUCACCACUACCACCGGCAUUUCUUAUAGCAUUUCGCAUCGAGUUCAGUAUGCUUCCGUAUGUAGUUCCAUGUCCCCGCUCAAUUGCUUGGAUAAAGCAGAAAGUCAUGGCACCUGUUGAUGUUAUCUUUGAUAGAGCCUGUUUGCGUUCAAGUAAUUAGCUCAUCAGCAUCAUCGUAUUUCUUUUCUAAAAUGAACUCUAAAGAGAUGAAAUGGAUUGUGGAUUAUGGAACUUACAGAUGUAUCAGCAGAGGUUUCGUUAUCAUCACAGCCACUGAAAGAAAUAGCUUCUCCACCACUAGUUCCUUUCCAUACUCCAGAUCGAGGGCGGUGGUCCUCCCACAUGUAUUGUCCACUCCUACAACCAAGGGGAAAAUCGAAAAACUAACAGUUGAAUCAAAGAGGCAUCAACAGUUAAAAGUGAAACAAUUAAAAUACCAUUUUGGUCUAGGUACAGUGGAAUUUGUUCAAUUUUAGUCCUCGUACUGUCACUAAAUUUAGUCCUUCAAAGUUCACUUUUAUUGAAAAUGGUUCAAUAAUGAUAGUCAUUUUCAUGCAUGAAAGUAUAGUGUGUGACAUGUUUCCAAAAUUAGUAAAAUGCUACUUAAAUAAAAAAUGGUUUAGAGAAAAUCGAUGAUAAACUAGUAGUAGGGACUAAAUUUAAGAAUCAUUAAAAGUACAAGAACUAAAUUUGCAAAUUUAAGAAUACAGGAAGUAAAAUUGAGAAAAAAAAACCUCAAAGCAGAAGGACCAAAAUGACAUUUUAACCUUUUCUUUUAUAUCACCACUAAAUCUUUUGUAAAGUUACUUAUAACCAUCAACUUUGGUGCAAGCAACAUCGAUGUCACAUGUUAUGUCUUGCUGAACAUAAGAAUAUUUAUAAGAUACCAACCUGCCCAUUCUGCAUAGAAAUGGCAAAUCUAAUACGGUGCCACUAUGGCACGCAUCUAUGAAUGCAUGAAGCUUUACACCUUGAGGAAGAGGCCUAACAAUUGCCGCAUUAAUUUCAUCAUCAACGAUCAUUCCCUGAGUUUCAAAGUCCAGAGGGCAAAGGGUUUCAUCAUAUCCAUCUACUUCAUCACCAUUAUAGUUCCUUUGGUGAGAACCGUGGCCAGAAUAAUGGAAUACCAAGGAGUCACCUGGUUGACAACCUUGUACUAGCCAAAACAACGCCAUUCUAAUGUUGUUCUUGUAGGGAAUUCUGUAUGGAUCAGUUUCUUCUUCUGCAUUUCAUUUUCCAAAAUGACAAUAAGUAAAAACAAGUGGUGAGACAAGAAGAUACAGAAAUAAAUCAACAAUAAAUUUGGAAGUAAUUGAUAAUUGAGAGGCUGAGAUGAUGACUUAUAGAGCCACAUUAUCCCGAGCACAAAAGUUUAGGAAGUUUGCAAGAAAACAAGAGAUGUGCAGACAUGGGUUCAGAGUUCGAGUUCAUUAAAAGAGAUCCCUCCCAUAAGAAUUGGAAAUCAGCCUAAAUGAACUCAAAGACACAAUUAUACAACCUACAGAAGUAGAACAGAACUUGUUCAAGUAAGGUUGUAGCCUAAAUAUUAUUUGAAAUCGAGCAAUCAAGGUCUCCUAUUUGGAGCUAAGUUGUUAUCUUUUGAUACCUGUUCAAAUGGUGUGAAACAUAUAUUUAUACAGUUUCUUGGUGAGUAUAAACUAUCAAUCUAACUACCCUAAUUCCUUUUGUAAUUACAGCUCUUCUCAUUGCAAGUCAACAGAAGGCCUUCAUUUGUGGCCCUUUCUUUGGAUUUUUCUAAUAUACUCAUCAUUUCCUAUCCUUCAAAAAAAAAAAUAUAUAUAUAUAUAUAUAGAUAGAUAUAUAUAAAAGCAUGUUAUGACCUUUGAUAUUUUUCCAAAGUACUCUGGUCAUGAGUGGAUCUACGAUGAGCUCUAAAAGGUUCUUUAGCUCAAGGUGCUAAAUUGGCCAAGUCAAGAGGGAGGAGGAUCUUGUUCCUCUUGAUAAAAAGAAUUUGACACUCAUUUAGAGAAAAGAAAUUGAAGAAUACAUGGGCAUUAAUUUUUUCUAAAAGGGCCAAACUAAAAGAAGGGAAUUCAGUCAAGAGAAAAAGACCAAGGGAAUAUUUAGCGAAGAAAUAGAGGUCCAUAGAAAAAUAGAGAAUCUACCAGACGUGGACAUAAAAUCUUACACCCUUUGAAGAUUUUGUUGUUCCCCUUCCCCAAAGCUGCCACAAAACAGAACACACCCCAGCCUCCCCUAGAGUCGGUAAGUAGUUGAGAGUGAUGGCCUCAAAGCGUACAAUUUUACAAUUUUCUUGUUACAUAUCAAUAGUUCUGAAACUGUACCCACGAUCUACCAACUAAUCCUAAAAAGCAUAAAAUUAUCAUUUCAUUUUCUACCAACUAAUCGUCUGUGCGUCUAAUAUGUUUGCACAAUGACCCAUGAAAGGCUUAGAGGUUAGAAAUUAUAUCCAACACGCAACAACAUAUCCUCAUAAGUCCAUACAAUCUGGACUUGUUAAUCCUGUUGGCUGUUCAAGUAAGGUUAUAACUUGUACAUCCUUAGAGAUCACAAACGAAGGCUCUGAUACUUUAAAUAUAAUGACAAAGAAAAGUGGCCAUUUCAAAUAUUUCCUAUAAGAAUGAACCCAUCGGAAGUACCAACAAGCAGAAGAGAGUUGUGAUUUCCACGACGAUUAGAGAGUUAGAAUCAAAAAGCAAAAAGCAAUACAGAGUAAAUCUCACGAUGAACAACAGAGG